rnacentral:lncRNA from 1 species
CCUUACAUAGAUCCAAAUCGAGUGUUGAUUUUUCCUGUGAUUCAAUUACUAAUAAAUCUAAUUCUGGAUGAAUAAAAAAUGAAUCAAAUAAGGCUGAUAUCUGUACUGGAAUCUGAUUAAUUACCGAAAUAAAUUGAAAUUAAAUCUAACAACGUGAAUUCAAUAGAAAAAUAAGUAACAUACAUCAUUAGAUUCCAUCAAUGAUUAGUUUGUUUAUUUAAUCUUGUCUAAGAAUACAAAAAAUAGUAGAAAAAAAUCAAUACCUUUGAUUAAGGGUUCACAUACCUUAAUUAUAAUUUUCUUCACUUUCGUCCCAACACAAGAUUCAAUUGUAGAAACCCUACUAUUGUUCAAAUGUCUAACCUCUAUAUUCACACUAAGAAGUUG